rnacentral:rRNA from 1 species
CCUACGGGAGGCAGCAGUGAGGAAUAUUGGUCAAUGGCCGGAAGGCUGAACCAGCCAAGUCGCGUGAGGGACGACUGCCCUCUGGGUUGUAAACCUCUUUUAUAAGGGAAGAAUAAAUGCUACGUGUAGCAUGAUGCCUGUACCUUAUGAAUAAGCAUCGGCUAACUCCGUGCCAGCAGCAGCGGUAAUACGGAGGAUGCGAGCGUUAUCCGGAUUUCUUGGGUUUAAAGGGUGCGUAGGCGGUUUUGUAAGUUAGUGGUUAUACGUCGGGGCUUCACCUUGAUUUGCCAUUAAUACUGUAAGACUCGAGUUCAGACGAGGGAUGCGGAAUAAGUUAAGUAGCGGUGAAAUGCUUAGAUAUAACUUAGAACUCCGAUAGCGAAGGCAGCUUACCAGACUGCGACUGACGCUGAAGCACGAGAGCGUGGGUAGCGAACAGGAUUAGAUACCCUUGUAGUC